rnacentral:rRNA from 1 species
GUGUCAGCCGCCGCGGUAAUAUGUAGGGUGCAAGCGUUGUCCGGAAUUAUUGGGCGUAAAGAGCUCGUAGGCGGCUUGUCGCGUCGACUGUGAAAUCUCGGGGCUUAACUUCGGGCGUGCAGUCGAUACGGGCUGGCUUGAGUGCGGUAGGGGAGACUGGAAUUCCUGGUGUAGCGGUGAAAUGCGCAGAUAUCAGGAGGAACACCGGUGGCGAAGGCGGGUCUCUGGGCCGUAACUGACGCUGAGGAGCGAAAGCGUGGGGAGCGAACAGGAUUAGAUACCCUCGUAGUCC